rnacentral:miRNA from 1 species
GUCACGCUGGGCCAUGAGCAAGCCCUGGAGGGGCUGGAGCUGUCUGGCUGGAUUUUGGGGUUGUAAGGG